CCCCGGGGCCUUAUGGAGCAGAGUGCCCCUCCAGACCCCCAGCUUGUCAGAACUGGGUGCCAGUAGAGGCUAAAUUUUCCCCACCUAUCACCUGCCCCCCACCAGAGGCAAUUUCCUCCCCCUAGUCCCAAGCUCCAACAGUUCCAGGGGAGAAAGCGAAAGCUAGAGCUGACUUACUGCGAGAGCGAGAGCGCGGCCCGGCUGCCGCCACUGCCUCCUGGGCUGGUCCGGCUGCUCUAGGCUGGGAGAGCGCUCACCUACCUCUGCCCCCUUCCCCACCACAGCGAGCAGUUAAAGUGUCACUUAACAUUCUGGAGAAUGUGAAAUAUACCGCGCGGUGUCAACUCCCCAAAACCAUAAAACUAACUUUAUGGACCUCACGUGACUUUCUCGAGCCAGUGAGGGGUAUCUGUCUGACUUCUCGGCGAUUUUUACGAUCUAACUUCAAGAUAAAACCCCUAUCCAUUUGACAUCUAAAUGUCAUAGCGACUUUUGGGAUAGCUUGCUAUCGACAAAGGGGGACAAAGUCAAGGGGUAAGGGAGAAAGAGGGCCCAGUAGAGCAUCCACGACCCUCGGCUGCCUCCUCACCAGCUCCCCCUCCCCCCAAGUCCUGUAAGAAGUUGGGAGAAGCUGGAAGGGAUUGACCUGCCGCCGCCUCGCCCUCGCCGGCCUCUGCGGAGACUCCCGGCCCUCCAGAGACCAGGACGUCCCUCAGCGCCACCGCCCCUGGUGCCAACGCUGCCGGGAAACCGCCGAUACCAGCACCCGGCAAGAGAAGUGCAAGGGGACAAUUGGGGGAGGCCCGGACAAGGGAGGGAUGGUGGGAGGGGGAGGGGGCCAAACCCACAGAGGCCACCGCGGCGGCUGCUGCGGGCGCCGCUCAAGCCCAGACACCCCCAUCCUCCUUCUCGCAGCCCCCUCAUCGGAGCCUGCCCUCCCGGCUUUAGAAGGCGACUUAGAGCCGGCUCUUCUUGGCCCCUUUUGGUUCCUCCGCCAGUCUCCCCUGCCUCGGCUCCCCCUCCAGGAAGCAGCCACCCCUCUCUCUGCCACCGAAUUUCCUGGGAAGCCUCUCCCUGCAUUGCCCGGAGGUGGGGUUCAGCCCCAUCUUGCAGGGGGGAGACAAGCCCAAGCCCCACCCCCCUACAAAAUCGAUGCAAAAGAACAAGAAGAAUUGUAGAGACUCCCUUACCUUUGCAGACCUUGGGAUUCAUUUCCUCCGGAUUGAAAGGGGUGGGGAGGGAGGGGGGAAAAAAGAGCGUUCCGUUUCUUCUUCAGCCUCCAGAUAAUAUUGUCCCAAUCUGAGAGCCGUCGCUUCCCCUUCUCUGACUUGGAGAGAGGGUGUUUCGCUCUUCUGACAUUUGCAUAGAAAAUGGAGUAAGUUCAGGCUUUGAAAAAUGGUAUCAAGCUGUGGUCCUGGGCAGAUUUUCCAGUUACCCUCCAUGACGACUAAAAUCCCAGAUCACCAAGCAAAUUAACUUAGGAAUUAAAAUUCUUUUUGGUUCUCUCUUUUGUGUAAUUCCCUCCCCUCCUUUUCUCUCCCUCUCUCUUCUCUCCUCUCCCCCUCUCUGUCGCUCUUUCCUCUAUCAAGCUGAUACUGAAGCAUAAAAAUAUCAAGAGGCUGGAGCCCUGAAGGACGGCAGUGCUCCGACCUAGGUGUGGUGUCCAAAAGAAUGCUGCAUUAUAACCACCAGGGAAAUGAUAAAAAGUUCAUGUUCACGAUCGCCCGGCCACAUGACCGGCGCCGGCCAAUCGCUGGAUUCAACCACUCAUAAACUUCUAUCACAAAGUUGUAAAUUUUCAUAAAACAACAAGGAAUUUAUUGCAUUUCUUCAUGGCUGCUCCACCAGCAGCCCUUUUCUCAGUCGCCAUCUUCUUUUCUUCUCCUUCUCGCGUUUUGGGGAAACCCCAUUCUGAGAAGGGGUGAGAUUUGGGGUGCAGGGAAUCAGGGUGGAGGAGCCACAAGGGGCCAGGUGGGGAGGGGAUUCUUUUUGGACCCUCCCUAUUUCCUGCAGGAGCUCUGUCUACUUCUGAUAGUAAAAAAAUCACCCCAAUUCCUCAGUGUAGGGACUGUUCUCAGGCGCUUUGGGAGGUGAGGCAGAGCAGCAGUCGGUGACCAGAGCUGCCACUUGCACCAGGGAGAAAUGAAAGCUGCAGUGUACCUUCUUCCCCACCCAGUAGCCCCCUGCUUCCCAGCCCCACAGCUGGCAGAGCCCCACCUGUGAGGCUUGCUGCAUGGACCAUAUGGGCACCCUAAUUCCCUUAGGCCUAGCUUUUGCCCCAG
ensembl:lincRNA